rnacentral:rRNA from 1 species
GAUGAACGCUAGCGGCAGGCUUAACACAUGCAAGUCGAGGGGCAGCACAGGUAGCAAUACUGGGUGGCGACCGGCAAACGGGUGCGGAACACGUACACAAUCUGCCUUUAUCUGGGGAAUAGCCCGAAGAAAUUCGGAUUAAUACCCCAUAACAUAUUUGGAUGGCAUCAUUUGAAUAUUAAAACUCCGGUGGAUAAAGAUGAGUGUGCGUCCCAUUAGCUAGUUGGCAGGGUAACGGCCUACCAAGGCGACGAUGGGUAGCUGGUGUGAGAGCACGACCAGCCACACGGGCACUGAGACACGGGCCCGACUCCUACGGGAGGCAGCAGUGAGGAAUAUUGGUCAAUGGACGCAAGUCUGAACCAGCCAUGCCGCGUGAAGGAUGAAGGCCUUCUGGGUUGUAAACUUCUUUUAUUGGGGAAGAAAAUUACGGUUUCUACUGUAACCGACGGUACCCAAGGAAUCAGCACCGGCUAACUCCGUGCCAGCCGCCGCAGUAA